rnacentral:lncRNA from 10 species
AAAGCAAGAAGUGGGCCUCCUGGGCCUCCUGGGGACCGGACUGGCCAGAGCCUGGCUGGCAGGCUCCACACCUGGAGGGGACCUGGCCCCACCAGGAGCCACCAGGCCAGACACUAUCACAUCUACCUGUCCACCGACUUUCCUGGUGGGACCGUGCAGGAACAGGGAUCUCACAGCCAGGGACACUGAGCAAGACCCCAACUUAUCCCAAACCUGCAGCUUCCAACACUCUCAGAAGAGACGUUACACCAAACACAGGCUGAGCUGGAAGACACCUGCUACAGAGACUCAUCUCCUGUCACUCUGCUGGCACCGCAGCAGUAGUUAUGGGGGUGCCAGCUCCAAAUCAGCCUCCAGAUCAAACCCAGCUCUGUGGCCUUGGGCCUUGGGCCUUGGGCAGCUCAGCCUCUCUGCGCCUUGUUUUUUCACAUGCAAAAGGAGGCGAUAAUCACUGAGAACAGCAGUGUCUGCCCGCUGCACCUGUUGGGGUUCUGAGUACCCCCGUGUGCAUGCUGCCUGUUUAACCCUCACCACUACCCUCCAAGGAAGUCGCUGUUGCUGUUCCCCUUUCCAGACGAGGAAACCACGGUUCGGAAUGGCUCCGUACCUCCCUCCUAUGCUGCUGUGAGACUUGAAAGAACAUUGCAACGUGCAGAGCCCGGCUCCCAGCGGGCCCACAGCUGCUGCUGCUGUUUUCACAAUGGCCCGGUCAAAACUCUGACCACUAAUGGAAUUUGGUACCAGAAGAGUAGGAGUAACAAACUCUAAAAUGUGGAACUGGUGAAAAGCAGAAAAACUGAUCUUCCAUUUGACUGAAUUGUCACCUAUUUAAGCCUGGGCUGCAUACGACAUGUCUGCUGAAGCUGUAGCUCUCAGGGAAACGAGGGUGGUUUCAAGGGGCUGUGAGUUGGCUGCUUCUAAUGGCUUGCAGAAGGGCUUACAGAAAGGUGAGUGGCUUGUCUAGAAAUGGCCCACAUAUGAGCAAAGGAGAAGACAAGAGACUCAGGAGCAGCAGCAGCUAUGAAUGGAUUGAAAACCAAAUCUGUUUUCCCAAGCCUCUGUCAAGCAUCCUCUGCUAAAUAUAGAGACAAUCCAGUUGGCAAAAAUCAGGCUACAGGGAGCAGAGGGGCCAGUGGGCCCACGCCUAGGAGGCUGGCAUGCCUACAGUCAAAGGUUAUGUCUGGUCCAGAUCUUUGGCUGAGGUCAUUAUCCCAUGACAUUGACUGGACACAGCAAUCUAGAUGUCUGCUGAGCUUUUAAAGCAACUGCAUUGGCAAAGAAACCCUGUACGUGACUGGCAUCCGUCUGCAGAUGCUCAGCUCUUUAGUGCCGGGCUGAGGCACUGACAGGGCUGGGACGAGGGUGGAGCCAAUAGGGGUUCACCUGGGCACAAAUGUAAGGGGCCUCCAAGCACUCAUCCCAAGAGGAACCAUUUAUUCAUGUCACAUCUUAAAAAUCAAAAUUAAUGAAAAAUAUACGAUGAACAAAAUAUCAUGGUUUCAAACAACGAGGACCAGACAAAUCAGGGACUGGGGUGAGGUUAGCGAGGGGAGCCGUGCUAUGCAGGACCAGGGACUGGGGUGGGGUGAGCAAGGGGAGCCGUGCUAUGCAGGACCAGAUCUCAUCUUUAGAAGGUUAGUAUUUCCUUCAUCACAGAUUUUCUUUUGCAUUUGGUUUUUCAUAAUUCUGCAUCAAAAUAUUUAAUUUGAUCAUUGAGGUUUUUUGGUACCCCUUAAAUUCUGUGCCUGAGGCCAGGGACUGCCUCACUUAACCCUUGUCCUGGUGGGCAUCAGAAGGAAGCAGCCAGGCAAGCUGUACCAUGCCAGGGAAGGGCGGUCUCCACGCUGCUGCCUCAGAAGGUCCUGCAGCAGUGACGGUGGAGGAAAACCCCUCAGUCCAGCCCACAGCAAGUGAGGAGCACGCUAUGGGCUUCUACACAGAAGCACACAGGGAGAGGACUCUUCCAUGGGAUAUGGUCAUGUGUGCACAGGCCCCCAGGAUGGUGACAGCCCCUUGCAGCCACAAAGGCAGCCUGGCAGACACGGAGGAUAGUGGAGCAGAGAGAGGGAAAGGGCCCCAUCCUCCAUGGCCUUUCUGAGCUGCUGAACUAGCCGGGACCACCUGCCCUGAGACUCAGCUGGCGACCUGGUUUUGAGGACAGUGGUGGUGGCCUCAUCAUUUGCACUGGAGUCCUCUGGAGGAUGCGAGGCAGGGACAGCGCUCUCCUGGAAUGGCCAUUUCCUGACACGCUGGGAGCUGCCUUCAUUUCUUCCACUUUUUCCAAGAAUAUUCCUCAGAGCUGGGCUUGGUGGCUCUCGCCUGUAAUCCCAGCACUUUGGGAGGCCAAGGUGGGUGGAAGACUUGAGCUCAGGAGUUUGAGACCCGCCUGGCCAAUAUGGAAAGACUCCGUCUCUACAAAAAUUAGCUGGGCAUGGUGGCGUGGGAGGCUGAGAUGGGAGGAUCACUUGAGCCCAGGACAUCAAGGCUGCAGUAAGCCAUGAUCGCUCCACUGCACUCCAGCCUGGACGACAGAGGACAUCUUGUCUCAAAAAAGGAAAAAAACAAAAGAGAGAGAGAGACAGCAUAUUCCUCAGGCUUAUGAAUGUGCAUAGCAAUGGUUCAGGAGGCUGCAGGUGUCGGUUCAGAACAGCAGACUUUUACUGAGCACCACUGGGCUCUGGGCCACAUAGGGUAAUGGCCAUAAAGUCAACAGGACGAGCUUUUCCCUGGGGAGGUUUCAGGGUGUUCUUGGUUGUCCCAGUGGUGGGAUUUCACCUGGUAAUUAGCAUCCAGCGAAGCUGGGUGUCCCAUAAUGCAUGGACAAACCCCCACAGGAAAGCCGCAUUCCGCAUUCUGCAAAGCUUCUCAAAUACUGUGGGGUUUCUGAAGGGCAUUUUUGUCAGAAAAGAAAAAAACAAUUUAAAAAAUAUAAAAUAAAAUACAAAUACCAUGGGGCAUUAUUGUGCAUGAAAAUCCUAUCAGUGGCUAUCUAAACCUAGAUCCUCACUUCACUAUACAAACAAACAGUGAGGAUUUUUAUAGUUUUGAAAUAAGCUGGAUUUUCUA